rnacentral:lncRNA from 1 species
CUCCUGGCCUGACGCUCUCACACAGUCACAUGGAUGGCUUGCUGGCUCUCUUCUCUGGGUUCCGUGCGGUUUCUUUGGUUUACGAUAAUCAGUUUACGAUAAAGGCUCCGUUUAGAUUGCAAAACUUUAUAACAUUUGGAACUGUAGCGUUUUCGUUUGUAUUUGACAAAUUUUAUCUAAUCAUGGACUAACUAGGCUUAAAAGAUUCGUCUCGUGAUGUACAAUUAAACUGUGCAAUUAGUUAUUUUUCUUACAUACAUUUACUGCUCCAUGCAUAUGUUCUAAAAUUGAUGUGAUGGAGAGAGAGUGUAAAAAUUAUAACAUUUUGAGUGCAUCUAAACAAGGCCAAAGUACGGCUGUGCUGUAAAAGAGUAAGAGUUUGAUCACG